UACGAAGGGGGCUAGCGUUGUUCGGAAUUACUGGGCGUAAAGCGCGCGUAGGCGGGUUGUUAAGCCAGAUGUGAAAGCCCGGAGCUCAACUCCGGAAUUGCAUUUGGAACUGGCAGCCUAGAGGCCAGGAGAGGUUAGUGGAAUACCGAGUGUAGAGGUGAAAUUCGUAGAUAUUCGGUGGAACACCAGUGGCGAAGGCGACUAACUGGACUGGUACUGACGCUGAGGUGCGAAAGUGUGGGGAGCAAACAGG
rnacentral:misc_RNA from 1 species